GUGGGGAAUAUUGGACAAUGGGCGAAAGCCUGAUCCAGCCAUGCCGCGUGUGUGAAGAAGGUCUUCGGAUUGUAAAGCACUUUAAGUUGGGAGGAAGGGCAGUAAGUUAAUACCUUGCUGUUUUGACGUUACCGACAGAAUAAGCACCGGCUAACUUCGUGCCAGCAGCCGCGGUAAUACGAAGGGUGCAAGCGUUAAUCGGAAUUACUGGGCGUAAAGCGCGCGUAGGUGGUUUUGUAAGUUGGAGGUGAAAUCCCCGGGCUCAACCUGGGAAGUGCAUCCGAAACUGGAGGACUAGAGUACGGUAGAGGGUAGUGGAAUUUCCUGUGUAGCGGUGAAAUGCGUAGAGAUAGGAAGGAACACCAGUGGUGAAGGCGACUACCUGGACUGAUACUGACACUGAGGUGCGAAAGCGUGGGGAGCAAACAGGAUUAGAUACCCCGGUAGUCC
rnacentral:rRNA from 1 species